UAUGGUAUAUUGAUUUGAAGUCAUAAACUAUAAACAUUAAAAAAAGUGGAAUGGUUGAGUGCUAAUAAAUCAAACAAAACUAUGGAUUUCUUUAUAGGAAAUAGCAGAAAUGGGUUCUCAAGGUAAAUAUUUUGUUCGAUUUGAAGCAGAGGCAAGUGCAAAAACUCCCUUGAAGGAAGAUCUAGUUACACUUACACGCAUUUCAAGAAUGAGCAUGUGACAGUGACACUUUUUUCAGCUAAAAGUUAGCGAUCCAUUAAACACGGUAUACACAUGAGCUUUGUGCAGGUGAAUGGAAUCAUUUUAAAAUUGAGAGUAAAAAGUAAAACAUUACCGUUAAGCACAACAUAACAAAUAAAAGUACACGUUCAUGGUGCUACUUGUAAUGCAAUGUUUCCAUGUAAAAGGGACAAGUAAAAUAUAGGCAACUCAUGGUAUAUACUAUAUAGUAUACAAAGGAGGGAUAAAAAAAAAAGAAAAUCAAAUCAAUGAGGAAGAAAAACUUUAUAUUCCGUUCAGUUUCUCACAAACACAUGUAGCUCCUAUCAAGGCUAUAUAUCCAAACAUAAGAAAAACAAAAAGCGUGAAGCAAUGAUAUUACUAUGCAAAUGCAAGCAAGAUGAAUCUGAGAUUUGAUAUUAUAAAUACUCCUAUUAUUACUAAUUAAGAAGGACCCAAAGUUUGGAAUCGGUAGCAGCAAGUCUUAUUAAUGAAUCUGAGAUUUGAUAUUAUAAUUUUUAAUUGUAGUUGAUAAGAAGAAAGAUGAUUAAAAGUGCCGAAGAAAGCAUAAAGCAGAAAGACAGCAAAUCAGAAAUCUAUGGGAAUCUGCAGGCUGUGUUUAUAGAAAUGGAUAGCGCUCAAGAUAUAAGCAUAAGCCUUCAAACCUUGUCCCAAUUACUACAUAAACAAAAACCAGAUUACAAUUUUUUAAAAACUGUAAACAGAUUAUCUUCCAAAGUU